UUAAUACCCAAUCCCUGACACAGGGAGGUAGUGACAAGAAAUAACAAUACAGGGCUAAUGUCUUGUAAUUGGAAUGAUGGUGACCCAAACCCUCACCAGAGUAGCAAUUGGAGGGCAAGUCUGGUGCCAGCAGCCGCGGUAAUUCCAGCUCCAAUAGCGUAUAUUAAACUUGUUGCAGUUAAAAAGCUCGUAGUUGAAUUUUAGCGUGUUCGAGUUUGCCAUUCGUUUGGCUUUUUCGAGUUCGCUUUUGGGUUUUCCCUUUUUACUUUGAGAAAAUUAGAGUGUUUCAAGCAGACUUUUGUCUUGAAUACUUCAGCAUGGAAUAAUAGAGUAGGACUUUGGUUCUAUUGUGUUGGUUAUUGAACCUUAGUAAUGGUUAAUAGGAACGGUUGGGGGCAUUUCGUAUUUAAA
rnacentral:rRNA from 1 species